UGCAUGCUGUGAAUUAUUUCUAAGCUUUGAGGGUAACGUCUCUAUAAUUCUCCACACCUUAAUGUACAGUCUGAUUACCAAAAUGAAAAGCAGAAAGAUUAAUAUUAAAAAUUAAUCACAGGUUGCAACAUUAUGUUAAAAAUUCCCAUUGCUUUUGGCAACCACCCAAAGAAAAUGUCCCACCAAUGGUGUUCCCCAUCUUUCUUCACUCAUUCCAUCAGCUGGUGAAUUGCUUCCACACCGUGAUGAACAGUAAUCAAAGUCUUCUGU